AACGCGAAGAACCUUACCAAGGUUUGACAUGCAGGGAAAAGCCGUAGAGAUAUGGUGUCCGUAAGGGUCCUGCACAGGUGGUGCAUGGCUGUCGUCAGCUCGUGUCGUGAGAUGUUGGGUUAAGUCCCGCAACGAGCGCAACCCUCGUCCUAUGUUGCCAGCGGGUAAUGCCGGGGACUCAUAGGAGACUGCCGGGGUCAACUCGGAGGAAGGUGGGGAUGACGUCAAGUCCUCAUGCCCCUUAUGUCUUGGGCUGCAAACAUGCUACAAUGGCCAGUACAAAGGGUUGCGAGACCGCAAGGUGGAGCGAAUCCCAAAAAGCUGGUCUCAGUUCGGAUUGGGGUCUGCAACUCGACCCCAUGAAGUCGGAGUCGCUAGUAAUCGCAGAUCAGCAACGCUGCGGUGAAUACGUUCCCGGGCCUUGUACACACCGACAUA
rnacentral:rRNA from 1 species